rnacentral:rRNA from 1 species
GGCUAGGGGGCCAUCCCGGCUUACCAACCCGAUGCAAACUGCGAAUACCGGAGAAUGUUAUCACGGGAGACACACGGCGGGUGCUAACGUCCGUCGUGAAGAGGGAAACAACCCAGACCGCCAGCUAAGGUCCCAAAGUCAUGGUUAAGUGGGAAACGAUGUGGGAAGGCCCAGACAGCCAGGAUGUUGGCUUAGAAGCAGCCAUCAUUUAAAGAAAGCGUAAUAGCUCACUGGUCGAGUCGGCCUGCGCGGAAGAUGUAACGGGGCUAAACCAUGCACCGAAGCUGCGGCAGCGAACGUAUCACCCAAGACAACUUUACGGAGUUGACGAUUGACGGAGCGAAGCGACGUCAAAGCGUUCAUUAAAGUCGAGUUGGCUUAGGGAUACGUUCGUUGGGUAGGGGAGCGUUCUGUAAGCCUGUGAAGGUGUGUCGUGAGGCAUGCUGGAGGUAUCAGAAGUGCGAAUGCUGACAUAAGUAACGAUAAAGCGGGUGAAAAGCCCGCUCGCCGGAAGACCAAGGGUUCCUGUCCAACGUUAAUCGGGGCAGGGUGAGUCGACCCCUAAGGCGAGGCCGAAAGGCGUAGUCGAUGGGAAACGGGUUAAUAUUCCCGUACUUGGUGUUACUGCGAAGGGGGGACGGAGAAGGCUAUGUUGGCCGGGCGACGGUUGUCCCGGUUUAAGCGUGUAGGUGUGUGUUCCAGGUAAAUCCGGUUCACUUUAACACUGAGGCGUGACGACGAGGCACUACGGUGCUGAAGCAACAAAUGCCCUGCUUCCAGGAAAAGCCUCUAAGCAUCAGGUAACAUCAAAUCGUACCCCAAACCGACACAGGUGGUCAGGUAGAGAAUACCAAGGCGCUUGAGAGAACUCGGGUGAAGGAACUAGGCAAAAUGGUGCCGUAACUUCGGGAGAAGGCACGCUGACACGUAGGUGAAGUGAUUUACUCAUGGAGCUGAAGUCAGUCGAAGAUACCAGCUGGCUGCAACUGUUUAUUAAAAACACAGCACUGUGCAAACACGAAAGUGGACGUAUACGGUGUGACGCCUGCCCGGUGCCGGAAGGUUAAUUGAUGGGGUCAGCGCAAGCGAAGCUCCUGAUCGAAGCCCCGGUAAACGGCGGCCGUAACUAUAACGGUCCUAAGGUAGCGAAAUUCCUUGUCGGGUAAGUUCCGACCUGCACGAAUGGCGUAAUGAUGGCCAGGCUGUCUCCACCCGAGACUCAGUGAAAUUGAACUCGCUGUGAAGAUGCAGUGUACCCGCGGCAAGACGGAAAGACCCCGUGAACCUUUACUAUAGCUUGACACUGAACAUUGAGCCUUGAUGUGUAGGAUAGGUGGGAGGCUUUGAAGUGUGGACGCCAGUCUGCAUGGAGCCGACCUUGAAAUACCACCCUUUAAUGUUU